AUACGUAGGGGGCGAGCGUUGUCCGGAAUGAUUGGGCGUAAAGGGCGCGUAGGCGGCCCGGUAAGUCUGGAGUGAAAGUCCUGUUUUUAAGAUGGGAAUUGCUUUGGAUACUGUCGGGCUUGAGUGCAGGAGAGGUAAGUGGAAUUCCCAGUGUAGCGGUGAAAUGCGUAGAGAUUGGGAGGAACACCAGUGGCGAAGGCGACUUUCUGGCCUGUAACUGACGCUGAGGCGCGAAAGUGUGAGGAGCAAACAGGAUUAGAUACCCUGGUAGUCCCCACUGUAAACGAUGAAUGCUAGGUGUAGUGGGUAUCAACCCCUUCCGUGCUGCAGUUAACACAAUAAGUAAUCCACCUGGGGAGUACGGCCGCAAGGUUGAAACUCAAAGGAAUUGGCGGGG
rnacentral:rRNA from 1 species